rnacentral:rRNA from 1 species
UACGGAGGAUGCGAGCGUUAUCCGGAUUUACUGGGUGUAAAGGGGGCGCAGACGGCGAUGCAAGCCAGGAGUGAAAGCCCGGGGCCCAACCCCGGGACUGCUCUUGGAACUGCGUGGCUGGAGUGCAGGAGGGGCAGGCGGAAUUCCUGGUGUAGCGGUGAAAUGCGUAGAUAUCAGGAGGAACACCGGUGGCGAAGGCGGCCUGCUGGACUGAAACUGACGUUGAGGCUCGAAAGCGUGGGGAGCAAACAGG